rnacentral:rRNA from 1 species
AUUGUCACACUCCUACGGGAGGCAGCAGUGGGGAAUUGAUGCAAGCAUGGGGGAAACCCUGAUGCAGCCAUGCCGCGUGUGUGAAGAAGGCCUUCGGGUUGUAAAGCACUUUCAGUCGUGAGGAAGGUAGUGUAGUUAACACCUGCAUUAUUUGACGUUACCUACAGAAGAAGCACCGGCUAACUCCGUGCCAGCAGCCGCGGUAAUACGGAGGGUGCGAGCGUUAAUCGGAAUUACUGGGCGUAAAGCGCAUGCAGGCGGCCUGUUAAGUCAGAUGUGAAAGCCCGGGGCUCAACCUCGGAAUUGCAUUUCGAACUGGCAAACUAGAGUCUUGUAGAGGGGGUAGAAUUUCAGGUGUAGCGGUGAAAUGCGUAGAGAUCUGAAGGAAUACCGGUGGCGAAGGCGGCCCCCUGGACAAAGACUGACGCUCAGAUGCAGAAGCGUGGGAGCAAACAGGAUUAGAUACCCUGGUAG